rnacentral:ncRNA from 1 species
CGACCCGGUGGUGCGCGCUGCUUUUCCAAGGCACUUGGGGUAACUACCCACCAGACCAAACCCCACCUGGCCACUGGUGAGUUGGGGGCCACUCGUUCGGGUGAUGGGGGCGUAAGUCGGGCGGUUUGGUGGGGUACGGUCGCCGCGAACAACCACAGACAGAGAACGGCCCCCGACAGGACUCCAAUCCUGACGGGGGCCUGACCACGCAGGAAGAAGCACCUUCCCC